UUUCAUGAUGAAUUCCUGAUAGGGACAACUUAUGCAAUGCAUUUGAUGUGAACCGGGAGAGAUUAUUUUAGUAGAUGCUUCUCAUUUCUGAUA
rfam:Exophiala xenobiotica strain CBS 118157 unplaced genomic scaffold supercont1.4, whole genome shotgun sequence.